UGGGGAAUAUUGGACAUUGGGCGAAAGCCUGAUCCAGCCAUGCCGCGUGUGUGAAGAAGGUCUUCGGAUUGUAAAGCACUUUAAGUUGGGAGGAAGGGCAGUAAGCGAAUACCUUGCUGUUUUGACGUUACCGACAGAAUAAGCACCGGCUAACUCUGUGCCAGCAGCCGCGGUAAUACAGAGGGUGCAAGCGUUAAUCGGAAUUACUGGGCGUAAAGCGCGCGUAGGUGGUUCGUUAAGUUGAAUGUGAAAGCCCCGGGCUCAACCUGGGAACUGCAUCCAAAACUGGCGAGCUAGAGUAGGGCAGAGGGUGGUGGAAUUUCCUGUGUAGCGGUGAAAUGCGUAGAUAUAGGAAGGAACACCAGUGGCGAAGGCGACCACCUGGGCUCAUACUGACACUGAGGUGCGAAAGCGUGGGGAGCAAACAGG
rnacentral:rRNA from 1 species